UGGACGCUGAGACCGCAGUUUCCUGAUUUAAGCCUUAAGUUCCAGUUGAGUUUCACCCGAGUUCCAGUUGAGAUCUCAUUUCCAUCAGAACAUUAUGCAGCAUGCCAAAGACUACAAGGACAGUAAAAAGCCUUAUGGAUACACAGAAUGCUUCAGCAACAGCUCCAGAUUUGAAUAGAAGGCCACAUGUGUUUGCUUUCAAAGCAAUCUUUUAGACGUCUUUUGGAAAGGAAAGCUACGUAUAUAGGUCCUUCUAAAGCAAUGAAAGAUUUUAUUCUGCAUUUUUGGAAUGG